rnacentral:rRNA from 1 species
AAAACAUCGCCUCCUGCAACACAACCAUGUAUAGGAGGUCCAGCCUGCCCAGUGACUACAAGUUCAACGGCCGCGGUAUUUUGACCGUGCAAAGGUAGCGCAAUCACUUGUCUUUUAAAUAGAGACCUGUAUGAAUGGCUAAACGAGGGCUUAACUGUCUCCCCUUUCCAGUCAGUGAAAUUGAUCUGCCCGUGCAGAAGCGGACAUAAAAAUACAAGACGAGAAGACCCUUUGGAGCUUAAGGUACAAAACUCAACCGCGUCAAGCAACUCAAUAAAAAGCAAAAACUUUGCGGAACAUGAGAUUUUACCUUCGGUUGGGGCGACCACGGAGGAAAACAAAGCCUCCAAGUGGAUUGGGAAAACCUCCUAAAACCAAGAGAGACAUCUCUAAGCCACAGAACAUCUGACCAAACAUGAUCCGGCUGCCCGAAGCCGAUCAACGAACCAAGUUACCCUAGGGAUAACAGCGCAAUCCUCUCCCAGAGUCCAUAUCGACGAGAGGGUUUACGACCUCGAUGUUGGAUCAGGACAUCCUAAUGGUGCAGCCGCUAUUAAGGGUUCGUUUGUUCAACGAUUAAAGUCCUACGUGA